UACGAAGGGCCCGAGCGUUGCGCGGAAUCAUUGGGCUUAAAGCGUACGUAGGCGGACGAGCAGGCACCUUGUGAAAGCCCUCGGCUCAACCGAGGAAUUGCUUGGUGAACCGCUCGUCUUGAGGCAAGUAGGGGCUGUCGGAACGAUAGGUGGAGCGGUGAAAUGCGUUGAUAUCUAUCGGAACGCCAAAGGUGAAGACAGGCAGCUGGGCUUGUUCUGACGCUGAGGUACGAAAGCGUGGGGAGCGAACGGGAUUAGAUACCCCUGUA
rnacentral:rRNA from 1 species